CGUGCGCCGUGCAAGUGUCGCGCGAGUUGCUCCUCUGAGAGAGAGUCAGAAAGCGGGUAGUUCUGAAGAGCUCUACGCCAGGGAAGGCGGAGGAUGAAGCUCGGAAAUUGAAAGAAGUCACUGGUGUGGGUGGUAAACUAGUAGAGUUGGAGGUCCCACCAUGGAUCACAGGGAUUAGAGCACUAUCAAGAUCAUUUAAAUAAUGUUGAGGAAGAAGUUGGCCUUCAGAUCCUGCCUGAAAUUCAACCUGGGAAAGAAAAGAAUCUUGAUAAGUCAACCUCAGAAAAGUGAGAUCACAAGUAGACAGAGAGGCAGGCAGAGACAGAGAGAGAGAGAGGGAAGCAGGCUCCCCGCUGAGCAGAGAGCCCGACGCGGGACUCGAUCCCAGGACCCUGAGAUCAUGACCUGAGCCGAAGGCAGCGGCUUAACCCACUGAGCCACCCAGGCGCCCCUAUCUAGCAAGCCGCAAGCCAUCCAUAGUCUCUGGCGUUAUUUGUACCAUCAAGCCAUCUAAUAAUGAGGGCACUCUAAGUGUUAUUCACCAAAAAGGAAAAGCUAUUUGGUUGGCAAGGAAGGGCUUGAACUCACGACCCUGAGAUCAAGACCUGAGCUGAGAUGAAGAGUUGGACACUUAACUGACUGAGCAAUCUAGGCACCCCCACACAAUUUUAAUUUUAAUAUGGUAAUUAUCACUAGGUAUGACCCACAUAAUCUAUAGCUCUUUGAAGUUCUUAAUAACUUUAUGCUCUUAUCCCUUUAUGCUUCUAGGAGCAUAAACGGAUCUUCAGAUCAGUAAGUUUGAGAAUCAUUACCUUAAACUGACAUUAAAAAAGGUAAAAUCUAUAAUAUACUACUACAUUGUAUGUUUGUCAUUUUAGGAAGGUAUUAAAACAAGUACUCUAAUAAUCACACACGAAAUAUAUUUAAAAUAAAAUGU